CACUUUGGGGCUGGGAACUGAAUCUGGCUGAGAGUGAAGUUUAGGUGGUUGUACACCUAGUGCUUUAUCAAGACUUAAUGUUGGCUUUGGUAAUCCCCAGUAAGUAGUUUUCACUGACUUUAGAAAGAACAGAAUUAGGUCAGCUAACAUCUGCAAGCACUGCAGAAGGAUAGUUAAGAUGCACAUUUCAGUCUGGGAAAACUUCCAACUUCAGUUUGCUAUGCAUUUGAAGCACUGCAAAAAGUCUUGAUUCCUGGAUCCCUUUGGGUGAGGUUUCAUUGGAUGUGACCAUUAGAGAAGCAGAGUCUGAGGCAGUGACAGUCAUCUGUAAAAGAACCAGUGCUCCAAUAUUUGAGGUGAUGAAAGAUGUGUGACUUUCUACUGGCAGCUCUUCAAUUCAAUGACCUGGGACAGGAUCAGACUCUUCAUUCAUCACUUCAGGGAUGCUGAGGCUGCCAGGUCCAGAGGAAUACUGCCGGCAUAUAAAGAAAAUCUAAAUACUGCCUGGAUUCCUAUACCAAAUAAAAGCCCAGCUUCGUUCAGCACCUUUUACUCCUUCAGUCAUAGAAGAAAUCAGAGGUUUACACAUACAGGAGAUGUCAUUAUCCUUGCUUGUUUUUCACAGUAGAAUUGCCACAAAAUCACGCUGCCUAGUAAAUCUACCAUCUCUGUGACGAGAUGUGAGUAUAGAAGUAAGACUUUUCUCCCUGCUAGAAAUCUUUUAUAAUAUUGAAUGGUAUAUAAUUUUCUCUGAGUGUUCCUUGUGUGCCCUCCCCUUGCUCCUCUACAGUUUUACUCUUCCCUCUUAACAAAGGUUCAUUUGGUUUUUUUUCUAAUACUAUCAGAAUUUAAACAUCUGUGUUUUCCAACACAUCUUCUGAUCUUUCGUACAUGAUAAUGAGACACUGACCUACUAAGUUACAGAGCUUGUCAGCAAUUGAACAGGGAAUUGAAUUCAGAAGGUGAGGCAGUAACCUUUUAUUAUGGACUGGUAACUUUUUGCUGUUUCAUACUAUAAAAUGUGCCACAGAAAUGAAAAUGGAAAGUGCUGUUGGAAACAGGAUUGGAAUGAAAAGCAUAUCUCUGAAGACUGCUUUGGGUUAACUGGAUGGGUUUGGCCUGAGGAAAGAGGAGCUUGCUUAAUAUUUCAAUGGAUUUCACUCUCUGUGCUUUCAAUCUGAGUUUUGCUUUUAUUCUGCUUGCCUCUUGGUUCCUAUACAUAAGAGAUAUAAAAGCGAGUUUAGCAGUUCCCACAGGAUGGGAGAGCUUUCUGAGCAAUGUCAUCACCACUGAUGUAGCUUUCCCGCUUUCUCUCUCCCCAGAAAAAUCAACUGUAAAGGACACGUUAGUGCUGAAAUGUUAAAAGCCUAACUGAACAUUCUGGGCAAAGCUUUACUGAGUCCUGUGGAACCAUAAUUUGUUCUUUGAAUUUCUGAAAAUGGUAUUGUAUCAUUAGGAAGCCCACCAUGGACUUUUCUCAGUUUUGUGCAGAAGAGGGUUUCUCUUCUGAGAGAGAAGGGUGCAAUGAGAGCCUCAUUGUCUCAGACAAGACAAAGCAGCGUUGUUCUUUUGGAAUAAAGUCAUGAAGUCAUGUAUAGCUUCA
ensembl:lncRNA